rnacentral:rRNA from 1 species
GACGAACGCUGGCGGCGUGCUUAACACAUGCAAGUCGAGGGGGAGUAGGGGCAACUCUACUUCACCGGCGAACGGGUGCGUAACACGUGAGCGACCUACCCUGGUGUGGGGGAGUAGCCGGCCCAACGGCCGGGUAAUACCGCAUACGCUCUGUGAGGGGCGAUCCCUUCGGAGAGCAAAGCUGUGGGGCGAACUCACGGCGCAUUGGGAGGGGCGUCGCGGCCUGUCAGCUAGUUGGCGAGGUAACGGCUCACCAAGGCGACGACGGGUAGCUGGUCUGAGAGGAUGGCCAGCCACAUUGGGACUGAGAGACGG